CACCAAGAGAGAACGGCCCCUAUGGUGGA
rnacentral:sRNA from 1 species